rnacentral:rRNA from 1 species
UACAGAGGGUGCAAGCGUUUAAUCGGAAUUACUGGGCGUAAAGCGUGCGUAGACGGUUAUGUAAGUCAGAUGUGAAAGCCCCGGGCUUAACCUGGGAAUGGCAUUUGAGACUGCAUAGCUAGGGUGCGGAAGAGGGAAGCGGGAAUUUCCGGUGUAGCGGUGGAAAUGCGUAGAUAUACGGGAAGGAACACCAGGUGGCGAAAGCGGCUUCCGUGGUC